UCUGCUACUUUUAAUAUAUAUAUAUAUAAGGAAACUAUGGAUUGCUUUAUGUUUUUUGCUUUGAACAAGAAGUAUGAUCAAGGAUGACGCCAUGCGUUACGAUCAGUGAUGAUGGCAUGCGCUUGAUGUGCUGCUUUCAUCACUCCUCGGUAUAUAUUUAUAUAAGUUUGAUGAUAAUGAAACUAUGGAUUGUUUUAUGAGAUUAUCUAUUUUCUGCUCUAAACAAGUAUUGUUCGUUUCAAAUUUGUUUUGGUUGUCUCGUCUGAUCAAUUACACAAGUGAUUUCAACGCGCCACAGAAACGCCAUCUAUUGUCUGCCCUAAACAGGUAUUGUUGACUGGUUUCAAAUUUGUUUUGUUGUCCCGUCUGAUCAAUUACGCAAGUGAUUACAACGCGCCAUAGAAACGCCUGGUAUUAAAAAAAUACGUGCUUUUCUAUAUAUAUAUAUAAUGGGAGCUGUGAGCCUUUCCUCGGCAGCUGGAGUUGGAGACGGGAGUGCUUCCUCCGGAGAUCUGAGGGUUUCCUUGUUCAGUUGAAUUUCUUCCAAAAAUUUGAGCAGGAAAGGUAGAUCCAUCAAGGAAAAGGUGAUGCUGGCCGUGAAUUGGAGGCGGCGUCCAUCUUUCCCCUCUCUCAACAUGUAUACAGACGACUCAUGACAGGUCGUGGCAGGUUGCCUGAAGUGACCCAGGAAAGUCCUGUCGAGCAUGCUUUUGGGAAAAUGAAUAAUGAUUGUCUGCGAAACGCGGUCAAGACUCUUAUUUGAGACGCUAACCACUGAGUCCAAGCAAGACAUUCCGACAGGGGAGGUGUGUUUCGCAUGUCAGUCCCAUGGUUGUCCUAAUAGAGGGUUGGACGUGUCACGUGUCAGUCCAGGUGUGCAUCCGGACAAAGGGUUAGAUGUGCCACAUAUUCAAAGGAGAAGUGCUUUGUGAGGUCGCCAUAUGUACGCUUAGGGGUGGUCCAGUAUGUUGCUGCUUGAUGUGAUUCAUGGUAUUUUUGUUCUCAUAUUGAAACUGUCCAGGUCGAUUACUUUACACCUUUAUAAUUCUGUACCUGGUCUAGAAUCUAGAUGCAGAGUUGGGUAUAGAUUUUUCUUUUCUUUUAGUCUUUUCCGACCUACUCCUUUCCUACGCCUGGUAAUCUGGUAUGGAAUGGGUCUGAAUCAUUUCAAAAUGAUGAAAUAUGUAAAAAGAUUACCAGUAAACAAAGGCUAAAUAUAUAUUGGAAUUCAAA